rnacentral:lncRNA from 1 species
AUAUAUUAAUUUUAUGUUUAGGUAAGGGGUUAUGAUUUCCGAAACUGGUGUGGAAAAUAUGGUUGGAAGCCGUUCCUGGGGACUUUUAAAACCCUGUGCUAAGAAACUUAGUGAAUUUGUUGCGGGUGAAAUAUAAUGUCUCGUGCUCGUUUUCCUUUCGCAACAUUUUAUCAGGAUCAAUGAAUUGGAGAACUAAUAACAUCAUCUUUUUACAUUCCCAAUCGCGUAUGCAUACCACAGAUUCACAGGUCAAAUGAAUGGAAUAUGGGUGUUCUGUUUGAAGGGAUCUCAACAGGCUAUCCUUGGAAGGGGUAUUGAUACGCUACAACGGUAUUACUGCUAACAACGUUGUUUCCUGCCCAACAUUCCCUGAGAUUGCAGAUAAGGUUUACGACAUCUUGCAUGGAAGAGUGUGGGCGGGUCACAAUAUAGUGGAAUUUGAUUGUGUGAGGUUAAAAGAUACGUAUGCUCAGAUAAACGGAAAGCCUCCUGUACUCAAGGGAACCAUGGUUACAUUGAAAUUGUUGAUUGAGACGUUUGGGAGGAGAACCGAUAACAUGAAGUCUGUUUAAAAUUGAUAUUCAAAAUCAAGCCAACAAGAUACUGAUAACAAUUGGGCUUCUUUGAAUGCUGGUCCCAUUAGAAGCUCUAAUCGAAAAUCCACUCUAGAAGUAACACACUCGAACAUAAGCUCACCUCAACUGAAACCCGUACGGUUCCUCCAAAUCUACCAAAUCAAGUUGAAUCUGGUAACACUCAACCCGGCCCGUUUCACACAGGCCCAUCUGUAGACAGAAUGGAGACUGUAACUCUUCAGUCAAAUGAAGCUAUGGUGGAAGAAUCAUCUACCACCUAUCUAAUGCUUUCAGCAACGACAAUGAAUUCAUAGACCCUGAUUCAGUUCCAAUAGCUUCAAUAACUGUAACCGUUGCUCCCUUUGUUAACGGGCCCAGAGGAUACAAAUAUUUCACAAAGACAUCCCUAGGCAGAGUCAUUGCGCAGGCAUGAGAAUACUUUUGGAUUGAGCACACAUUUUGUUGAUCAUGCUGGAAAUCCGAUCCUA